UUACGACCACAUCACGUUGAAACGCCGUUUACCUUACGAUUCCCGAAGUUAAGCAACGUUAAUCCUGACCAGUAUCUUGAUGGGUGACCGCUUGGGAAUACAAGGUGCUGUAAG